rnacentral:rRNA from 1 species
GACGAACGCUGGCGGCGUGCCUAAUACAUGCAAGUUGAGCGCUGAAGGUUGGUACUUGUACCAACUGGAUGAGCAGCGAACGGGUGAGUAACGCGUGGGUAAUCUGCCUUUGAGCGGGGGACAACAUUUGGAAACGAAUGCUAAUACCGCAUAAAAACUUUAAACACAAGUUUUAAGUUUGAAAGAUGCAAUUGCAUCACUCAAAGAUGAUCCCGCGUUGUAUUAGCUAGUUGGUGAGGUAAAGGCUCACCAAGGCGAUGAUACAUAGCCGACCUGAGAGGGUGAUCGGCCACAUUGGGACUGAGACACGGCCCAAACUCCUACGGGAGGCAGCAGUAGGGAAUCUUCGGCAAUGGACGAAAGUCUGACCGAGCAACGCCGCGUGAGUGAAGAAGGUUUUCGGAUCGUAAAACUCUGUUGGUAGAGAAGAACGUUGGUGAGAGUGGAAAGCGCAUCAAGUGACGGUAACUACCCAGAAAGGGACGGCUACCUACGU